rnacentral:rRNA from 2 species
AAACGACUCUCGGCAACGGAUAUCUCGGCUCUCGCAUCGAUGAAGAACGUAGCGAAAUGCGAUACUUGGUGUGAAUUGCAGAAUCCCGUGAACCAUCGAGUUUUUGAACGCAAGUUGCGCCCAAAGCCUUCGGGCUGAGGGCACGUCUGCCUGGGUGUCACGC